UACAUCUGAAGGAGGACAAGGACAAGAGGAGACACAGGUCAACUCUAGACUUAGAAAGAAGUCUGGAUAAACACAGGAGGAAUAAACAUAUCAACAGGAAAAGGAAGGAGAGAGAGAGAUACCAGGCUGAGGAAGUGAUCAGCAGAAGCUAAAAGUAAAGGAUUCCAGAUUUAGUAGUGAUGCUAACAAUGAGUCUGCUAUCAUUUCUAAAUGAAUUAAAUUAAGUAAGAGAUUUCCUAACUUUAGGGUCAUGUCUGAUGAAUAAAUUAGAGGAUGAUUAUAUCAUCUCCUGUGUGCUUUACGUCUGAUUAAAAUGCCGUAGAAAAGAUCAAAGCUGAAAAGAGAGGUUUCUUUUCAUCAUGGAGUACUUCAUUGAGCGUGUUAAUGAGGAAACAAAGCGUACUCAGCGAAGCAGAAGAUGCUCGGUGGAUUGGAAGUGUUUGACAUGAGCACAUGAGCAGGAGACGCCUGAGGAUCCUCAGACAUGCUGAAGAGGUCUGGAUAAAAUGCUGAAGGAGGCUGAUAACCAGACGGAUGUCAUCAUGUUUGAAAUCUUGUCACUCACGUUAUUUUGGCCAGAUCCUGUCUGGUGUUUGUUCUUUUCUCAGGACGAUAUCAGGAGAGAUCUGAUUGUUGGAGCGCCCCAACGCCGUGCAGAUGAGCCGUAAACAUGGACGAGAGAGUAUUGUUUGGCAGGAGGAGGUCCACUGGGGGUCCGAUGGGUCGUCCAGCCUUCUUUGGACAAAGUUUGUAUUUUUUUAGGGGCUCUCAUGUGUGUUGACUUACUUUCAGUUUUAUAUAGUUUGUUUGUUGAGGCUCAAUGGAACUGGAAAAGGGGGGAAUGAAGUGUCUGAUCCUUUGACUAUGUCUGGUUGCAGCUGCAGCAGUCUGCCUUUUGCUGAGGGUCAGUGAAUUCUCGGCUCCAUUCAUAGCGUUUUCCAGAGCUCAGCUUAGGAACGGUCUCUGUAAAACCAGUAUAAGGAGGGCUGACACAGACAGCAGGGGGAGUCUCUACAACUGGCCCAGAGACCUCACUGAUGCUGCAGAUGUGUUCAAAGGCUCACUUUUGUAAUAAACCUUUUUUAAUUGUUCA